rnacentral:lncRNA from 1 species
CUCAUAGUAGGAAUUUUUAUGUAUAAAAUCAUUUAACGAUAGGAUAUGAGUAUAAAAUUUUCUAUUUGCAUUAUUUAUUCAACAUUCUCAAUCAGAUAAAUUCUUUGAACGAAACAACCGGCUAUUCAAAAGUGUUGUAACAUUAGUUCCCCGUUUGUUAGACAAGGUGAAAUUGUUAUUGUUAGUAUGGCUGAAAGCCAAAAAUGUUAUGUUAAUUUGUGUUUGGCACGCAGAGGUGGUGGUCAAGCUCUUUAGCUUGUUUGGGUAUUGGCUAACUACUCUCGUGUUCUUCUUUCGUUUGUGAUAAACUCUGUUAUAUUGUAAUAGUUAUCUAGGCACACCUUGUGCUUGGUAACUGCUUUUGGUUUUGGUUAUUUAAUUCCAUUUUGGUUUCUUCAAAAAAAGAAACAUUUAUAGAAAUUCGGGCAAGAAUUGAUUUUCGCUACUUUUAAGUGGAAAAAGCUCGUUUUUUAGUCCAACUUCAGGUGGAAACUUUCCCUAUAAAUACCAAGCAUUUCAUUCAUAAUUUCUCAUUCAUAGCGAAGCGCUUCAAGAGGAAGGUAAGCACUAGAAGCUUCAAAGGAGAAGUUCAGUCGUCAGUCCGAGUCUUUAAGAUAUAUUUUAUUUCUUUUGUAAUUUGUCGGUAGUUACCAUUAGUAACUAAAUCUUUUUAGGCUAGGGUUCAAAGAUCAACUCUAUUUUUUUUUGUU